AGUGAACGCUGGCGGUAGGCCUAACACAUGCAAGUCGAACGGCAGCACAGGAGAGCUUGCUCUCUGGGUGGCGAGUGGCGGACGGGUGAGGAAUACAUCGGAAUCUACUUUUUCGUGGGGGAUAACGUAGGGAAACUUACGCUAAUACCGCAUACGACCUACGGGUGAAAGCAGGGGACCUUCGGGCCUUGCGCGAUUGAAUGAGCCGAUGUCGGAUUAGCUAGUUGGCGGGGUAAAGGCCCACCAAGGCGACGAUCCGUAGCUGGUCUGAGAGGAUGAUCAGCCACACUGGAACUGAGACACGGUCCAGACUCCUACGGGAGGCAGCAGUGGGGAAUAUUGGACAAUGGGCGCAAGCCUGAUCCAGCCAUACCGCGUGGGUGAAGAAGGCCUUCGGGUUGUAAAGCCCUUUUGUUGGGAAAGAAAUCCAGCUGGCUAAUACCCGGUUGGGAUGACGGUACCCAAAGAAUAAGCACCGGCUAACUUCGUGCCUACAGCCGCCGCUG
rnacentral:rRNA from 1 species